rnacentral:lncRNA from 1 species
GAAAUCAAGAAAAUUGUCAAAAAGGACAAAAGCUAAUUGUUGUAGUUCUUGCCAUUAGACCAAAACCAGCUCCUAUAGCCCCUUCGCCACCAUUAACACCACCACUGCCACCAUCUAAACCACCUUCCAUUGCCCCAAAACCAUCAUCCCCCAGUGUCUCCCCUGUCUCAUCCCCACCAUCUAUAACACCAAAACCACCAGUUAUUUCCCCUGCAAUACCUACAGUUCCUGCAGUUUCCCCUGUUUCUCCUUCUUUAGCUCCAUCACCAACAGCCAAGACUCCAGUUAUAUCUCCCGUACCGGCGAAAUCUCC